UGGGGAAUAUUGGACAAUGGGGGCAACCCUGAUCCAGCCAUGCCGCGUGAGUGAUGAAGGCCUUAGGGUUGUAAAGCUCUUUCACCCGGGACGAUAAUGACGGUACCGGGAGAAGAAGCCCCGGCUAACUUCGUGCCAGCAGCCGCGGUAAUACGAAGGGGGCUAGCGUUGUUCGGAAUCACUGGGCGUAAAGCGCACGUAGGCGGACCGUUAAGUCGGAGGUGAAAUCCUGGGGCUCAACCCCAGAACUGCCUUCGAUACUGGCGGUCUCGAGUCCGGAAGAGGUGAGUGGAACUGCCAGUGUAGAGGUGAAAUUCGUAGAUAUUGGCAAGAACACCAGUGGCGAAGGCGGCUCACUGGUCCGGUACUGACGCUGAGGUGCGAAAGCGUGGGGAGUAAACAGGAUUAGAUACCCUGGUAGUCCACGCCGUAAACGAUGAAUGCCAGCCGUCGGGCAGCAUGCUGUUCGGUGGCGCAGCUAACGCUUUAAGCAUUCCGCCUGGGGAGUACGGUCGCAAGAUUAAAACUCAAAGGAAUUGACGGGGUCAUAGCUGUUUCCU
rnacentral:rRNA from 1 species